rnacentral:tRNA from 1 species
CCGUCGAUAGCUCAGUGGUAGAGCGGUGGACUGUAGAUCCAUAGGUCGCUGGUUCGAAUCCGGCUCGACGGA